AACAACCUAACGGCAGGGUGGGCAGUUUCUCUCUCUUGCCGCACAUUUUUUUCGUGUCUUUGGUUUUGUUCAUGUGUCUUAAUCAUAGCGUUUUCUUUUGUGUGACCGUACACGUACUUACCUGAUCUGCGUGUCUGCUCAUGUGGAUGCUGUCUGGCAUCGCAUUACCGAAUCCAUUUUGACCUCGCUGUCGUGCGCUCUUGUCGGUUGUUUUAGCACCCAUAGAAGCACAAGCAACGCGGCGAGCAGGGACGAUGGCGCAUCCGGCGAAGCGUCGGCGUGGCGGUGGCCGUCACCGUGCUACUGUGAUGUGCGCCCUCCUAGCCGUCAUUUUUGUUCUGGGUGGUCUCUACGGUGCCCCGGUACGCGCUCAACAGCAAGCGCGUGGACUUGCAGAACUUGAGAGCGGUUCCCUUCCUCUAGCCGACGAAAACUUUGGCCACGGACACAAUCUCUACAAAGUCGUGGGCAAAGACGGAAUCUUAGACGACAAGGGUUUACAGACUCGCUCUGACGAGGAGGCCAUAAACAUGGAAACUGUUGCUUCGAGUGGUGCGACAUCCUCCAUCUGGAGGGCGGAAGGCAAUCCGUCUAUCGAGAGUGGCUCGUCGUCCUCUGCAGCUGCGAGUGACGCUGGCACGGCGGAGCGGAGCACCAGUUUCCGUUCCGAGGCUGGUGCUGCCAGCCAAAACCCUGACUCGUCGUCCUCUGCAGCUGCGAGUGACGCUGGCACGGCGGAGCGGAGCACCAGUUUCCGUUCCGAGGCUGGUGCUGCCAGCCAAAACCCUGACUCGUCGUCCUCUGCAAGGAGCAGCCGUCCCCUCACCGCGUCUUCUUCCUCUGAGACGAGCAAAGAGGAUCAACCGGUAGAUGGGUCCCCCGGCACCACUCUGACGAACACUACCACAACGGCAACCACGGAGACACCAACAACGAAGCGUCCGGCGGUUGAUCAUGGUAUGGGCACUUCAGUGGUUUUAUUUUUCUUCCUUCUCUUCAUUGUAGCCUUCAUCAUAUAUGGUGGGCGGCUGUGCCCAAGUGCGUGCCCGUUCGUUGGCCAAAAUAGCGGCGGCCAUAGCAGCGGGCCGCACGCGUUCAUCCAGCAGCAACACCCACGCUAUACCACGCUGCACGGCGACGACGAAGCCUACCGUGGGAUGAAGCUGAGCAACGCGGCAGCCGGGGUCCCAGUCGGCGGCCGAAAUCCGAGACGCUUUUAUCAGCCGCAACGCGGCGCCGGUGACAGCGAAGGCCAUUGUGACAUAUUCGUCGAACUGAAAGACAAACCCACCAAGACCGUGCGAAGCGCCGGCGCACACAUCAGCGGUGAAGCCACGGAUUCUUUUAGCUUUAUGGUGGGCAACAACCCAGCAGCAAAGAAUGGACUCGUUGGUACUUCGGCUUCCUCGGCCGGGCCGGUGACAGUGCACGUCCCGAUGCAGCCCAAGAGCUCGCUGAAGUCACUGCGGAAGGGCAAGCUGGGCCACGUGUCGACUACUCCGGCGGCCUCUUUUUCCUCGGGUUCGACGACUGAAACACCGGGCUCAAACGCGAGAAGCCCGCUUUACCGCUCAACUGCAGACACACGUUCCGGCCACGCCGAAGCUGCCGCUAUGCCGCCGACCACAUCGCAGCCACGCGUUGAGGACGAUUGGGAGUGGUAAGAUAAGACCACGUACAAGCGGGAGGCACCAAAGGGCGGCAAUGAAGCGCACGAAGCGAUGAGAUCUGUUCACCAAGUGGGCAGUGUGUGCACACACCCUCACCCUCCGCAUGAGUGAUGUAACCGACGUCACUGCUGACGACUUCCCCCCCCUCCCUCUCAGCGUCACCUAGGGUGCAAGUCUGCUGGGUUAUGCGUACCUAGCGCUGCCCUUUGUACUCGUGCGUCACCAUCACAGGCUUUGCGCAUGCACAGCGCAGAGACAGCAACGGUGCUUUUUCAUUGUUUUUUUUUUCAUCUUGCCUUUUUCCUUCUUGAUCCGCCUCAUCCUUCUUUCUCGUUUCCACUGGGCGUUUUUCACCUGCGUCGGGUUAACUCUCUCAUUUUGCGGUUGGGCCAUAUUUUCUUCCCUUCACCUCUUUUUCCCUUUCUCGCGCAGUUGAGACGCGCAUCUUACAGUCAGGUGACUGCUACCGAGACGGUCAUGUCGUGCAUCGCGCUGUCGCCGCAACUGAUUCAGUUCUCUGUAGUUGUUGUCGCCUUACUGGCGAUUUGAUGCCCGUUUCUCUUCUCUAAUUCUUCAUUGCGACUUUGUCUUUUCUUCUCAUCUCCGCAUCUUUC
rnacentral:misc_RNA from 1 species